UACGGGGGGGGAGCAAACGUUGUUCGGAAUCACUGGGCGUAAAGGGUGCGUAGGCGGGUCUUUUAAGUCAGGGGUGAAAUCCUGGAGCUCAACUCCAGAACUGCCUUUGAUACUGAAGAUCUUGAGUUCGGGGAGAGGUGAGUGGAACUGCGAGUGUAGAGGUGAAAUUCGUAGAUAUUCGCAAGAACACCAGUGGCGAAGGCGGCUCACUGGCCCGAUACUGACGCUGAGGCACGAAAGCGUGGGGAGCAAACAGG
rnacentral:rRNA from 1 species